rnacentral:rRNA from 1 species
UACGUAGGGUGCGAGCGUUGUCCGGAAUUAUUGGGCGUAAAGAGCUCGUAGGCGGUCUGUCGCGUCGGAUGUGAAAACCCAGGGCUCAACCCUGGGCCUGCAUUCGAUACGGGCAGACUAGAGUUCGGUAGGGGAGACUGGAAUUCCUGGUGUAGCGGUGAAAUGCGCAGAUAUCAGGAGGAACACCGAUGGCGAAGGCAGGUCUCUGGGCAGUAACUGACGCUGAGGAGCGAAAGCGUGGGGAGCGAACAGG